GGAGCCUCAAUACUUGAUCGAACUCCAGAUGACGAAGGCAAAAAGUGCCUCUGGAAUACAUCCACAAACUUCCGAUGGUCACUUUGAAUUCGACCUUCGGAAUCCAUCAGCUGAUCAAGCUUCCUCUUCAUGCUCGUCGAAUAACUAUUUGCAAGCACAUGCAACUCUCUAUUCUCACGCCUGAGCUGUCUAAUCUCUUGACUAAGAGCUGCCACCUUGGCUGUCAAUGAUUCGACCUGGCGAGUCCGAGCAAGUAAGCGUUGGCCCAUGUUGGAAACAGAGUUCGCACACUGGACACUGAGAGCCUGGGACUCUUGAACGGCUAACUCAUCGGACCGUCGUGAAAGUAUCCUAUUAUCUUUAGGAGUGAUGAGAUUUCUAGCUACAACCGUAGCCGU
rnacentral:lncRNA from 1 species